rnacentral:rRNA from 1 species
CCUACGGGUGGCAGCAGUGGGGAAUAUUGCACAAUGGGGGAAACCCUGAUGCAGCGACGCCGCGUGAGGGAAGAAGUAUUUCGGUAUGUAAACUUCUAUCAGCAGGGAAGAAAGUGACGGUACCUGACUAAGAAGCCCCGGCUAACUACGUGCCAGCAGCCGCGGUAAUACGUAGGGGGCAAGCGUUAUCCGGAUUUACUGGGUGUAAAGGGAGCGUAGGCGGCGAUGCAAGUCAGAAGUGAAAGGCAGGGGCUCAACCCCGGGACUGCUUUGGAAACUGUAAUGCUAGAGUGCAGGAGAGGUAAGUGGAAUUCCUAGUGUAGCGGUGAAAUGCGUAGAUAUUAGGAGGAACACCAGUGGCGAAGGCGGCUUGCUGGACAGUAAAUGACGUUGAGGCUCGAAAGCGUGGGGAGCAAACAGGAUUAGAUACCCGAGUAGUC